AGCAUUUAACAAAUUUAAUUAUAAACUACGAGAAAAUAGUCCGAAUCUAACGAAGUACAACUUGUGGAUAAUGGCUGUUGGCAUGAUGAUGCAAGCUUGCCAGGCGCAGUGUUUAAAACCAAUGUUAAGCUUGAUUUAACCACUGCAGUAUAAGGAGAGAAGCAGACCAGAAACCCUGACUAAAGUAAAGAUGAUUUGCAUAACAAAGGCAGAUGAAUAAAUCACAAGAGUCCAAAGUUUUGAUGACCAUGCAGAGUCGAGAUAUUGAAACAAAGACAUGCCUGCACUGUUCACUCAAUUUUUCAGAAUAACGUGUCAGAUUGAAAUCCAUUUUAUGUUGGACUAAACAAUCAGGACAUUUUUCUGGAUCACAGGUUGCACAAAGUAUUGACAAAAUCAAAGAUUACCUGGUAUUCUGCAAAUGGAGUGAUCAUUGGAUGAGCCAGACAACACCAUUUUCCUCAGAAAUUUUAGAAUAGAGGCAAUCUCCAUCUUCAUAGAUGACUGAUGU